ACAUAUGGGGUGAGAUCUUACACCAGAGCCCCAGACUCCUUCACACCUCUAACUGUUUUAUUUGUCAUUUUCACAUUGAGAAUUGCUGAAAUUACCAAUAACUCAAACCUAAGAUUUGAACCCAUAACCUCUAUGGUUGAAGGUAGGAAAUGGACCUCAAAGCCACAGACUCUCACACGUCUAGCUCUUCUUACGCCGAUCUAAAUAGUUAAACACAUGCCUUCUCUCAACUAAUGAUUUAGUAAGAUCGUUUGUAUUGUAAAUGACCUUGUAUGACACAGCCAUGUACAAUUUAUGGAGUUGGUUUUAUGAUUUUCUAACCACAAUGACACGGUGAAAUGUAUUGCCAUUAAUUAUUGUAGCAUUUGAUGGACAAGUCAUUAAUUAUUGUAGCAUUUGAUGGACAAGUCAUUAAUUAUUGUAGCAUUUGAUGGACAAGUCAUUCUGAUUUGAUCUCAUGAUUAUGUCAAACGGAACCUCAAAUCAAACUUGACAUUUAAUGCAUAAUUUUUGUUGGUCUGUUCAAGAUUCUGGGCUUGAUUCAAUCUGCAGUGCUGAAGAUCUGCUGUACAGCGUGACUCAAUCUGCAGUGCUGAAGAUCUGCUGUACAGCGUGAUUCAAUCCGCAGUGCUGAAGAUCUGCUGUACAGCAUGACUCAAUCCGCAGUGCUGGGAAGAUCUGCUGUACAGCGUGACUCAAUCCGUAGUGCUGAAGAUCUGCUGUACAGCGUGACUCAAUCCGCAGUGCUGAAGAUCUGCUGUACAGCGUGACUCAAUCCGCAGUGCUGAAGAUCUGCUGUACAGCGUGACUCAAUCCGUAGUGCUGAAGAUCUGCUGUACAUCGUGACUCAAUCCGCAGUGCUGAAGAUCUGCUGUACAGCGUGACUCAAUCCGUAGUGCUGAAGAUCUGCUGUACAGCGUGACUCAAUCCGCAGUGCUGAAGAUCUGCUGUACAGCGUGAUUCAAUCCGCAGUGUUGAAGAUCUGCUGUACAGCGUGACUCAAUCCGCAGUGCUGAAGAUCUGCUGUACAGCGUGACUCAAUCCGCAGUGCUGAAGAUCUGCUGUACAGCGUGAUUCAAUCCGCAGUGUUGAAGAUCUGCUGUACAGCGUGACUCAAUCCGCAGUGCUGAAGAUCUGCUGUACAGCGUGACUCAAUCCGCAGUGCUGAAGAUCUGCUGUACAGCGUGACUCAAUCCGCAGUGCUGAAGAUCUGCUGUACAGCGUGAUUCAAUCCGCAGUGUUGAAGAUCUGCUGUACAGCGUGACUCAAUCCGCAGUGUUGAAGAUCUGCUGUACAGCAUGACUCAAUCCGUAGUGCUGAAGAUCUGCU